CUUGUUCGAUUCAAAAGUAAACUCCUAAAACUGUGUGCGUUUCAAAACGCUUUCAUCAGCUAAUAUCGACAAAAGAAAUCAAGAUGUUUGUGCAGCUCACACCUGUUUCAUCAGAACAAGAGGAGAGAUCAUCUUGGAAAGGAGUGUACAAUAUAAGAAGUCUUCUAAAUAAAAAGAAGAGGUACUGCUUUCCCUUCAAGAAACCGAUGACAGACAUGUA